GAGGGUAUAGCUCAGUGGUAGAGUGAGUGCUUAGCAUGCACAAGGUCCUGGGUUUAAUCCCCAGUACCUCUG
rnacentral:tRNA from 1 species